rnacentral:rRNA from 1 species
AUUGAACGCUGGCGGAAUGCUUUACACAUGCAAGUCGAGCGGCAGCGCGGGGCAACCUGGCGGCGAGCGGCGAACGGGUGAGUAAUGCAUCGGAAUGUACCCAGUCGUGGGGGAUAACACAGCGAAAGUUGUGCUAAUACCGCAUACGUCCUGAGGGAGAAAGCGGGGGGUCGCAAGACCUCGCGCGAUUGGAGCAGCCGAGGUCAGAUUAGCUCAUUGGUGAGGUAAAGGCUCAACAAGGCGACGAUCUGUGGCGGGUCUGAGAGGACGACCCGCCACACUGGAACUGAGACACGGUCCAGACUCCUACGGGAGGCAGCAGUGGGGAAUUUUGGACAAUGGGCGCAAGCCUGAUCCAGCCAUCCCGCGUGAGUGAAGAAGGCCUUCGGGUUGUAAAGCUCUUUCGGCAGGAACGAAACGGUCGUCUCUAACAUAGAUGGCUAAUGACGGUACCUGAAGAAGAAGCACCGGCUAACUACGUGCCAGCCGCCGCAGUAACAC